AGGAGCCGUAUGAAUCGAGAGAUUCACGUACGGAUCUGUGAGAGCCUGAGGGGGCAGUUCCCUCGGGCCACUCGAC
rnacentral:ncRNA from 4 species